GCCCAUGGGUUAAUGGGCCUGUAAAAAAUUCUGACCCAAUAAGGCAAGGGUAAUCAACGCUACUUUGUGCACAGAGCCGCCGAUAAUCAACGCAACUUUGUGCACCAGAAUUCGGCCUCCGAUAAUCAAUUGGAGUUGGAUUCGUCGAUCUUCCUUCGUCAUUUUCAAGAAUGAUCCGAUUCAUACUUUUGCAAAAUAGGCAGGGCCAGACCCGUUUGGCUAAGUAUUACGUUCCUCUUGAGGAAUCCGAAAAGCACAAGGUCGAGUACGAGGUUGUAACGACUCAGAUUGACGGACCGCUAGCAGAUAUUGUCCUCUUUGGGCUUUCCAUUUCGGACUCCUCAAGGUGUCUGCUAGGAGAAGGUUUCCACGUCCUUAUAAAUGGUGUUUUCUCCUCCCUAACCAAUGUGGGACAUCACAAUCCACCUUUUCGAGACCAGCGUCCUUGUAGGGCAAGACCUGUCUGACUAAGUAUUACAUUACUCUUGAGGAAUCCAAAAAGCACAAGGUCGAGUACGAGAUUCAUCGGGUUAAUAGAGAUCCCAAGUUCACAAAUUUCGUGUUGAGGUGAGAACUUUUUGUUGUGAUUUUGUGGGUUUAUGUGAUGAAAUUUUGAUCUUAGGCUGUUGCGUCCCAGUAUUUGUCGAAAUUCGAUGCUCCAUUCUAUUCAAUUGAUUUCGUUGAAGUGGAAUGACGUCAAUCGCCAUAGUACACAAGUAAUGGUUCUGGAAGAAUCCAGAUUCCUUAUAAAACGAAUGAAAUGGGGCAUUGACAAUUAGCUUGUGGAAGAUUGGUAGUAUUGCCAAACCGCUCCCUCUUCCUCUCCUACUUCUUUCUCGCGUCUGCAACUCAGACCUAAAUUCCCUCUUCUCUGUAUUGCUACCACCUCACAGGUUUGCUUCUUUAGAUUCCCCUUUUUCCCCUCUCGAUUUCGGGUUUCUUGCAAUUUCUUCCUCCCCAGGUUUUUUCUUGUGCUGUUUAUAUUGCCUUCUUUGUUUAUUCAAUUUUGGCUCGAUGGUAAUUAGAAACGUGAUUCUUAUUUGAUUACUCGUGGGAUCGCAUUGUCAUUGUGGAGGCUCCGGUCUGAACUUUUGUUGUUUUUCGUUUUCUAAAUCGAGAUUUGAUUAUGCUUAUUUGUUUUGGACAGUUUUUAGUGUUGGGAUUGUGCAUAAUAUUAUUAGUUUCGAUGCGAAUGUUUUGUUUGUUGAUUCGGUCUGGAGGUUUUCAUUGGUACCUCGAUUCUAAGUGGUGUGUUCUUUGUAGAGAGGUUUUGGAGGUUCGGAACCUCAUUCUUUGCCUUAUUUGUUUCCCAUGUAGAUUUAGUUUGAGAUCUUGUAGUCAAUUGGGAUUUGGAAUUGUCUGAGAUCUCUUAGUCAGGAGUCCACGACCGAUGCCCUGUGCUUGAAGAGGUUUUGUUGCAUCCACCCUUUCGUGGGAGAUGCAGAUCGCCUUCACAGGCCGUUCUCUUGAUUGUGUUGUGAAACUUUUUUUUAUUGGAGAGGAUCGUAAGGGUUUUUCAACACAAACUUUAAAGACAUUUCAGCACUGAAUUUAUGAUAUCCCUUCAAGCAACAUUGACUCCCUCCAAUCUACCUCUAAAGUAUAUCCAACAAACCAAAAGCCUGAAGUAGAUUUAGUAGGAUGCCUAGCAAUAAAAGUAAGAAGACACAUAAAAGAACAUGAAAAGGAGAUAAUCUAAAAUAUCAACGCAGUGCAUGAUUGCUUGUGUUAUCUUUCUUGUUGAAUAGGAAGGAACUACGAGCUUAGACUAGGGUGCUUGAGACUAUGUAGGCUAGACAGAACCCUAGAAUGAGGAUUUUAGAGUGUUAUCUUUCUUGUUGAAUAGGAAGGAACUACGAGCUUAGACUAGGGUGCUUGAGAUUAUGUAGGCUAGACAAAACCCUAGAAUGGGGAUACCUCUAAAAUACUGUGCAUUUAUGCCC